GUAGGUGGCAAGCGUUGUCCGGAAUUAUUGGGCGUAAAGCGCGCGCAGGUGGUUCUUUAAGUCUGAUGUGAAAGCCCCCGGCUCAACCGGGGAGGGUCAUUGGAAACUGGAGAACUUGAGUGCAGGAGAGGAAAGUGGAAUUCCACGUGUAGCGGUGAAAUGCGUAGAUAUGUGGAGGAACACCAGUGGCGAAGGCGACUUUCUGGCCUGUAACUGACACUGAGGCGCGAAAGCGUGGGGAGCAAACAGGGAUUAGAUACCCUGGUAGUCCACGCCGUAAACGAUGAGUGCUAAGUGUUGGGGGGGUUUCCCGCCCCUCAGUGCUGCAGCUAACGCAUUAAGCACUCCGCCUGGGGAGUACGGUCGCAAGACUG
rnacentral:rRNA from 1 species